AUUGAACGCUGGCGGAAUGCUUUACACAUGCAAGUCGAACGGUAGAGGGGGCAACCCCUCGAGAGUGGCGAACGGGUGAGUAAUAUAUCGGAACGUGCCCAGUCGUGGGGGAUAACGUAGCGAAAGUUACGCUAAUACCGCAUACGAUCUAAGGAUGAAAGCGGGGGAGCGAAAGGCCUCGCGCGAUUGGAGCGGCCGAUGUCAGAUUAGGUAGUUGGUGGGGUAAAGGCCCACAAAGCCAACGAUCUGUAGCUGGUCUGAGAGGACGACCAGCCACACUGGGACUGAGACACGGCCCAGACUCCUACGGGAGGCAGCAGUGGGGAAUUUUGGACAAUGGGCGCAAGCCUGAUCCAGCAAUGCCGCGUGCAGGAAGAAGGCCUUCGGGUUGUAAACUGCUUUUGUACGGAACGAAACGGUCCGGGUUAAUACCCUGGGCUAAUGACGGUACCGUAAGAAUAAGCACCGGCUAACUACGUGCCAGCCGCCGCUGUAA
rnacentral:rRNA from 1 species